UCUAAGGCAGGUGUUAACAAUAUAGUCAUCUGGAGGAAGAGUGUCACAGCAAUGGCAAGAGAGAGAUAAUUGACAGGAUGGGGAUUGCUAUGUCUGAUGAUGAGAGGCUUCGCAGCAGGUAGCAAAGUAGAGAAAAUAAAUUGAGCCCAUUUCAAGAGUGUCCAGAAGCGAGCAACACUCACUGGCAUCAAAGGUCCUGUAUGUUCCUGAACACCUCUUCCUGUUCAAGAUGAUGGGGAGCUGACUCACAAAAAGGGCAAAAAUUAGAUUGCUCUGAAGAAGGAACUGGACCUAAGCACCAGCUGAGUGCAGAGGAUCUCUGAAAGACACACAUGAAUAACCAGAGCUGAUCAUGAGGGAAGCUGGCCCAGGAGGCAUUAACUGGCAAUUUGGAUUAAAAUGCCUCAUCUGAAGAAAUUACUCCACGGAUGAACGGUUACCUUGCAGGAAGAGAAAAAUGCACUGAAGGACCAUUGCGCUGGCAUAUGUUUGUGACCUGCGACAGAGGAGCCCCAGGAAUAAUCGCUGAGAACUGCAAAAAGAAACCUACUUUGCCAAAGAAGCAGGAUAAACAUCAGGCAUAUCCCUGCUUUAGCUCCAGGGUGCAACUGGCCCAGAGUCUUUCCUCCUUGUCAGAGAGAGCUGUGGGAACCUGUGCUUUUAUUUCAAAUGUACAGCAGCAAGAAGGAAAGCUAAAGAGCAUUUUAACCUGAAAAUUAAAAGUGAAACAAGGAAAGCAUAGCACUCUGAGGGUACGACUUUUCUUAUUCUAAUAAAGUUUCCUCUUUUCACUACUUUUCACGACAUAACAGAGGUAGAAAGUGAGGGACUGAUGAAUGCCAGACUGUUGUUCAACAGAUUUACUACUCAAAUAAACAAGACACACAACAUGGAAAAAUAAAUACAUCAGUCCCAGAUUUAAGGAUGUUCAAUCCAAGAACUGAGAGAUUCCAUAAUCUGUGCUGUAGAGGUGGGACACAUACCAGAAACCUUUUGCCUAUCCCUCCCCUCUUUUUCUGUGAUCAGUAAGUCUUUUUCUCUUAUAAAUUAAAAAAUUGUUUUUCAAGGACAGCCACUAAACAUCCUGGCUUUCAUCUAAUUUUUAGCAAAACAUUGUUCCUUCCUUUUUUUUUUUUAAACUUACACAUAAAAGGAAACAGUUAAACA